AUUGCAUCCUACUUUUUAAUUUGCUAACCCAGCCUUCUUAUAUAGCACAGUUUUUUGCCCACUUUUCAUCUCAAUCAUAAACAAAGUAAAUUACAGUAGAAUUAGUCUUGAUUUGUACCCCAUCUAAGCUUACAGGCCUUGAAGGGUUUUUUUUUGUUGUUGUUGUUUUUUUGUGUGUGUGUGGUUUUGAGUAUACUGGAGAAAAUGUUUCAGUUUUUGAGAACCUGUAUGU
rnacentral:lncRNA from 1 species